rnacentral:SRP_RNA from 1 species
ACUUUGUUAUUCAAUAGUAAAAAAAUGAAUUUGGUCAGGUCUUGAUUGAAGCAGCCAUAAGUUUUUUGUUAUGUGAUUAGCAAGGUUUG